AGUUACUGAGAACUCAUAAGACGAAGCUAAAAUCCCUCUUCGGAUCCACAGUCAACCGCCCUGAACACAUCCUGCAAAAAGCCCAGAGAAAGGAGCGCCAUGGAUUACUACAGAAAAUAUGCAGCUAUCUUUCUGGUCACAUUGUCGGUGUUUCUGCAUGUUCUCCAUUCCGCUCCUGAUGUGCAGGGUGCGUGACCAAAUUUGUGGUUCAAGUAAUAAGGACAACACACAUUUCUAGAUGUACAUCAAUAACUCCAUUAAUUACAUUUCUACCACCUUUUCAAAAGUAAUAAGUCUUUGCUGCUGGAUUCAUAUCUAGGCACUUGUAGAUUGUGAACAUAAAAUUAAAUUAGGUUCAGAAAAUGUGCAGUGAAAAUGAUAUCUUACACAACCAUUUAUGCAGCAGCCUAUACAUUUUCAUCGGAAAUAGAUUCCUUUUUAUUCUUGAGUCUUACAAGAAGAAAAUGCUCCUUAUUCAGUUAGCUCAGUUAUUUUUUACAUUUCUCCCGGCAGAUUUGAGAUUUUAACAUUGCCUUUGUAGAUGAAUUUUCACAUCAGUUAACAAGUGAGAAAAACAAAACCAUUUUAUACAGUAAAUUUG
rnacentral:lncRNA from 1 species